rnacentral:rRNA from 1 species
UACGUAGGGAGCGAGCGUUGUCCGGAUUCAUUGGGCGUAAAGAGCUCGUAGGCGGUUUGUCGCGUCUGCUGUGAAAACUCGGGGCUUAACCCCGGGCCUGCAGUGGGUACGGGCAGACUAGAGUGCGGUAGGGGAGACUGGAAUUCCUGGUGUAGCGGUGAAAUGCGCAGAUAUCAGGAGGAACACCGGUGGCGAAGGCGGGUCUCUGGGCCGUAACUGACGCUGAGGAGCGAAAGCGUGGGGAGCGAACAGG